UUGAUCCUAGUUCAGAGUGAACGCUGGUGGUAUGCUUAACACAUGCAAGUCGAACGAGAAAGUUUCUUCGGGAAUGAGUAAAGUGGCGAACGGGUGAGGAAUAUAUGGGAAUCUACCUAGCAGUACGGAAUAGCUUCUGGAAACGGAAAUUAAUACCGUAUACUACCGAUUUAUCGGGAAAGAUUUAUCGCUGUUAGAGGAGCUCAUAUCGGAUUAGUUAGUUGGUAGGGUAAAGGCCUACCAAGACGAUGAUCCGUAGCUGGUCUGAGAGGAUGAUCAGCCACAUUGGGACUGAGACACGGCCCAAACCCCUACGGGAGGCAGCAGUGAGGAAUUUUGGACAAUGGGCGCAAGCCUGAUCCGGCAAUACCACGUGAAUGAUGAAGGCCUUCGGGUUGUAAAGUUCUUUUAGUAGGGAAAAUAAUGAUGGUACCUACAGAAAAAGCACUGGCUAACUAUGUGCCAGCAGCCGCGGUAAUACAUAGAGUGCUAGCGUUACUCGGAAUCAUUGGGCGUAAAGAGUAUGUAGGCGGUAUAUUAAGUUGGAUGUGAAAGCCCAGAGCUUAACUUUGGAACUGCAUCCAAAACUAAUAUACUAGAGUGGAAUAUAGGACAGUGAAUUCCUAGUGUAGGGGUAAAAUCCGUAGAUAUUAGGAAGAACACCAGAAGCGAAGGCGACUGUCUAGGUUUCAACUGACGCUGAGAUACGAAAGUGUGGGUAGCGAACAGGAUUAGAUACCCUGGUAGUCCACACCAUAAACGAUGAGUGCUAGAUGUCUGGAUCUUAGAUUUGGGCGUUAAAGCUAACGCGUUAAGCACUCCGCCUGGGGAGUACGGUCGCAAGACUAAAACUCAAAGGAAUUGACGGGGACCCGCACAAGCAGUGGAUUAUGUGGUUUAAUUCGAUGCUACACGAAAAACCUUACCAACUCUUGACAUCCUGAUUACCGUUUCUAGAAAUAGAUUCUUCAGUUCGGCUGGAUCAGAGACAGGUGUUGCAUGGCUGUCGUCAGUUCGUGUCGUGAGAUGUUAGGUUAAGUCCUUCAACGAACGCAACCCUCAUCCUUAUUUGCCAACGAGUAAUGUCGGGAACUAUAAGGAAACCGCCGAUGAUAAAUCGGAGGAAGGUGGGGACGAGGUCAAGUCAUCACGGCCCUUAUGAGUUGGGCUACACACAUAAUACAAUGGGAGUUACAACGGGGUGUUUAGGAGUGAUCCGAAACAAAUCCUUUAAAAGCUCUCUCAGUUCAGAUUGCAGUCUGCAACUCGACUGCAUGAAGAUGGAAUUGCUAGUAAUCGUGGGUCAGCAAACCACGGUGAAUACGUUCCCGGGUCUUGUACACACUGCCCGUCAAGCCAUGGGAGUCGUCUCUACCCGAAUUUGUUGAGCUAACCGCAAGGGGGCAGGCAAACACGGUAGGGGGGAUGACUGGGGUUAAGUCGAAACAAGGUA
rnacentral:rRNA from 1 species